CGUUCGAUUCCGGAGAGGGAGCUUGAGAAACGGCUACCACAUCCAAGGAUGGCAGCAGGCGCGCAAAUUACCCAAUCCCGACACGGGGAGGUAGUGACAUGAAAUAACAAUGCUGGACUUUUUAAGUCCGGCAAUUGGAAUGAGAGUAAUUUAAAUCAAUUCUCGAGGAGCCAUUGGAGGGCAAGUCUGGUGCCAGCAGCCGCGGUAAUUCCAGCUCCAAUAGCGUAUAUUAAAGUUGUUGCAGUUAAAAAGCUCGUAGUCUGAGUUAUUUGGCCUAAUUCAAUUCCCGCAUGUUGGGGCACGGGGAAGGGGGUUCGCCUCUGACUUCGUUGUCUUGUGUGUGGGGGGCCAAAUUUUUGUACUUCGGAGGAACGCGUGUGCCUUUCAUUAGGUGUGCGUUUGGGAUUCCGAUAGUUUACUUUGAGAAAAUCAGAGUGUUCAAAGCAGGCGAUUUUGCCACUUGAAUACGUUAGCAUGGGAUAAUGAAAUAGGACAUUGGUUCUCUAUUUCUGAUGGUUUGAAGGACCGAUGUAAUGGUUAAUAGGGACAGUUGGGGACAUUCAUAUUCCAUGGCUAGAGGUGAAAUUCUUGGAUUCAUGGAAGAUGAACUACUGCGAAAGCAUUUGUCAAAGAUGUUUUCAUUGAUCAAGAACGAAAGUUAGGGGAGCAAAGACGAUCAGAUACCGUCGUAGUCUUAACCAUAAACGAUGCCGACUAGGGAUCGGUGGGAGUUAGUUUUGAUGACUCCAUCGGCACCUCAUGGGAAACCAAAGUCUUUGGGUUCCGGGGGGAGUAUGGUCGCAAGGCUGAAACUUAAAGGAAUUGACGGAAGGGCACCGCCAGGAGUGGAGCCUGCGGCUUAAUUUGACCCAACACGGGGAAACUCACCAGGUCCAGACAUGGUAAGGAUUGACAGAUUGAGAGCUCUUUCUUGAUUCCAUGAAAGGUGGCGCAUGGCCGUUCUUAGUUGGUGGAGUGAUUUGUCUGGUUAAUUCCGAUAACGAACGAGACCUUAACCUGCUAACUAGUCCAAGCAUACUUUCGGGUAUGGUACUUGCUGACUUCUUAGAGGGACAAGCUGUAUCUAGCAGCUGGAAGCUUGAGGCAAUAACAGGUCUGUGAUGCCCUUAGAUGUCCUGGGCUGCACGCGCGCUACACUGACGAACUCAACGAGUUUAUAACCUUGGCAGAGAUGUCUGGGUAAUCUUCUAAAAGUUCGUCGUGAUGGGGAUAGAUGAUUGUAAUUAUUCGUCUUGAACGAGGAAUUCCUAGUAAGUGUGAGUCAUCAGCUCGCGCUGAUUACGUCCCUGCCCUUUGUACACACCGCCCGUCGCUCCUACCGAUUGAAUGGUCCGGUGAGAACGUCGGAUCACGCGUUUGAUGCCAGUUCGCUGGUGACUUUUGCGAGAAAAGUAGUUCAAACCUUACCAUUUAGAGGAAGGAGAAGUCGUAACAAGGUUUCCGUAGGUGAACCUGCGGAAG
rnacentral:rRNA from 1 species